AAAUUCCCAAGUCGUGAUUAAAGGAACCAAAAUCACGUUUUGUAAACAGCGAUUACCCAAUUAAAAAAACCAGACCCGACAUAAACACAGAUUCGACACGACCCGAAAUUAAAAAAAAAAAAAAUUGGGGACAGAAUUAAAGUUAGUGUUUUCUUCUAUCUCCUUCACGUAAAGAAAAACGACGAGGAUGACAGAGAAAGGGAGAGAGAGAGAAAGGAGAGAAGAGAGUGCAGAGGAGAGAGAAACAGUGAGGGAUGGUACCACAGACGAAACUGAGACGCGAAGAGAUGAUCUGAGGGAAAUUCUUCUCAUGGGAAGCACAAAGUCAAAGCUAGCCUUUCCGUGGAGUUUUCUGUUUCAAUCGAGUCUUGUGUUUCAAUUGAGUCUGCAUUUUCUGUUCUGUUUAUGUAAGACUUGUUUCUUGUUUCUGUUUCGGUCAUGAGCAGCGGGGUGAUUAUAUAUAACUUGUUUCUGUUUCAGACUUCAUAUAAGCAAUGUCUUUAAUGGUUA